AACCUCAGUCAAUUUAAUACCCUAAAGGUCUCUGUUUUAUUACAUGAUCCUAGAGGCAGACACAUAUGUACAGCUUUUCUAAGUGCAUAAGUAGACUCCUGUUUCUCUUCAGACGAUUGGAGUGGACCAACUUUCAUAGUUCUCAAUAUGUCAUCUUAUUUUUUUCCUAGAGAAUGGGUGAUUUAACUAUUUAUUCAAAACAAAACAAACAAACAGACAAAACCUGGGGACAUAAUGCAGCUUUGAGCGCUACAAUAUUGAGGCUUAUUCUUUGCGGUCAAAAAUUCUGAGGUUAUGGGGGAUCUUAUGAAGAUGUGUGACAGAUGACAGUCAUCUUGAGACACUUUAUCUCAAAGGAGGCAGUAUCUGUAAUCUUCAGGAAAACCUUUUUAAUCUGAGCUCUGAGAAGCUCCAACAUGGAAAGAAGAAGAGAUCAACUGAGGUUGAACUGCAAGAGCUGAAAGAAACCUACUCCAGACCCUCCAGAAUAUCCAAGUCACGAUCAAGAUUAUGGCUGACAGCAGGCUCUCAUGCAAAAUGAAGGCCCUGAAGGUGAAAAAUGAGCACAAUUCUUUAUAAAAGGGGAAGUAUUAGGAGAUUUGCUCAGGGCACUUACCUCUCUAAACUUAGUUUCAUUAUUUGAAAAUCAGGAUAAUAAUCUCAAGCUUGUAGUAGGGUUGAUAGAAUUAAGCAAGAGAACCUUUAUAAAUGCUUUGAAAGGGUGCCUGACACAUAUCAGGCACUUAAUAAAAUUUUAAUUUUCUAGUUUUAAAAAAGACAGACUUUGACCUUGGAUACAAUAAUCAAAAAGCCUAGAGUUCUACUUACUCUAAAGAGAAGUCUUUACUUAGAAGCCAGCAUUUUCUAACUACGUCUCUGGUAAUAAUGUCUGAAUUGAUCUUUGGCUCUACUGUCUCCUAUUUUUUUUUUUUUUUAUAGACAGAUUCUUGCUCCACUGCCCAGGUUGGAGUGCAGCGACACAAUCAUAGCUCACUGCAGCCUCCAACUAUUGAGCU